rnacentral:lncRNA from 1 species
CAUCAAACCACAAACAUAAGACCUCCACUUAGGUCCUCAUCAAUCACUAGCGUGGUAAACAACACAUGCCACCAGUUUAGUUCAAAUAUAACUCAACACUAAACAUAACAUACAUCAUGUAUUAAACAGGGACUAACCAAGUCUUAGGGCCAAGCACAGUACUAAUACAUAAACCAAUCUCUACUUUACUUACAUUACAAUCUCUUACAAAUCAUUAUAUCAAUUUACAAUACAUGUCCACACUAAAACACUAAUCUAAUACUAUUACAUGAGCAAGACCUUUACCCUUGAUGUCUUCCUGGCCUACCACUGACCUGCAAAACUGGGGUUAGGGGAGAGGGGUGAGCUAAAAAGCCCAGUGAGUAGAAACAAGGAAAACAGUUCAUUAAUUACAUGCUUUCAUGAAAUGCGUCACAGCACAAACAAAUCAUAUCACGGAUUGGACCUAACCCCAAAAUAUCCCUUCCAGUCUCAGUAUGCCCGGUCCGGCCGGGUCUCACAACUUUCGUAUGCCUGGCCUGGCCAGGUCUUACAACAACUGUAUAUGUAUGCCUGGCCCGGCCAGGUCUCACAACAUUUCUAGGGCUAGUGGGGUCGUCCUUGGUCCAAUCUCCAUCAACAGUAAUCCGACCAGGUCUCACAACAUUUCUAGGGCUAGUGGGGUCGUCCUUGGUCCAAUCUCCAUCAACAGUAAAUAAUGCAAUGCUUCAUAUUCGUGUAACUAGUGCAAUCAACCUAUUACAUAUAAACAUGAUGCAUGAGCAUGCUUUAGGCAAUUGAUUUCAUAAAAUAAAAGAUUAAGUUUAGUUCUACUCACUUCUGGCAGACGCUGGACUGACUCUGCAACUGCUAACACUGAUGGCCUCCUCGGUCCCUUGGGUCCGGUCCUACACAGGUGGACUCGAAUGAGGUGCCAAACACAUUCUAACCACUCAUAAACAACUACCCAAAAACCCCUUACAACAUCACUUAAACAUGCAUAGAAAACAACCUUGAAAAGGCUGGACAGGGCACUUUCGGCGGCACCUUCGGCGGCCGAACCCUCUCUCCAGAGACGAAACUCGGGCACCUUCGGCGGCACCUUCGGCGGCCGAAAG